GUGCCUGAAAUCGAAAUGGUGGAGACACUACCCUGUGAAGCUAGUUAUUAGCGGGUUAGACUCCCGUCAGACACC
rnacentral:tRNA from 1 species